UUGUCUCUAUACACCUGUUGCUUUGGCGGGCCCACCGGGGCCACCUGGUCGCCGGGGGACAUCUGUCCCCGGGCCCGCGCCCGCCGAAGCGCUCUGUGAACCCUGAUGAAGAUGGGCUGUCUGAGUACUAUGAAAAUUGUCAAAACUUUCAACAAUGGAUCUCUUGGUUCCGGCAUCGAUGAAGAACGCAGCGAAAUGCGAUAAGUAAUGUGAAUUGCAGAAUUCCGUGAAUCAUCGAAUCUUUGAACGCACAUUGCGCCCCCUGGCAUUCCGGGGGGCAUGCCUGUCCGAGCGUCAUUUCUGCCCUCAAGCACGGCUUGUGUGUUGGGUGCGGUCCCCCCGGGGACCUGCCCGAAAGGCAGCGGCGACGUCCGUCUGGUCCUCGAGCGUAUGGGGCUUUGUCACUCGCUCGGGAAGGACUGGCGGGGGUUGGUCACCACCAAAAUUUUACCACGGUUGACCUCGGAUCAGGUAGGAGUUACCCGCUGAACUUAAGCAUAUCAAUAA
rnacentral:rRNA from 1 species